UCGGCUCUGUGGUGAAAUUCAUGUUGAGUUGCAAGCUCAUUGAUGUGUACUAAUGGUGCACCAGGGCCU
rnacentral:tRNA from 1 species